GGUUCUGGGGGUGACACAUCUUUAGUAACUGAAAUUGCUGAAAGUAAAAUAAAAUAAUAAAGUUUAGAAAGUAAAGAAAAACACCUACCACAGGUUUCAAUCUAUAAUAGGUGUCAGAAUAGUGGGAGUCCUGAUAGGUGAACUACAACAGAAGAAAGUGCUUGUGGGCCUGUGGAAACGUCUGCUCUUGAACGGGAGUGACAGUCACCUGUUUGAAAGUAAAGCUUGUUACCACCUUCCAUUCCUUCUCCAGGACAGAAGAGGAAGCCGAAUGCAGUGAUUUGGGUCAACAGGAUUUCAAGAGUUGAGACCAACCAGUAAUAUCACGAGAAAAAACAUUGUGCAUAUGGGAGGAGGGUGUUUGAAGAGAGGGAGAAAUAAGAAAAAAUAAAUAAUAGUAUUGCUAAGAAUGGAGUAGUGGAGACUGUCACUAUUCGAUGGGAAAUAGAGGUUCUG
rnacentral:lncRNA from 1 species